UACGUAGGGUGCAAGCGUUAAUCGGAAUUACUGGGCGUAAAGCGUGCGCAGGCGGCUUUGCAAGACAGAUGUGAAAUCCCCGGGCUCAACCUGGGAACUGCAUUUGUGACUGCAGGGCUGGAGUACGGCAGAGGGGGAUGGAAUUCCGCGUGUAGCAGUGAAAUGCGUAGAUAUGCGGAGGAACACCGAUGGCGAAGGCAGUCCCCUGGGCCGAUACUGACGCUCAGGCACGAAAGCGUGGGGAGCAAACAGG
rnacentral:rRNA from 1 species